AAACUUCUUUUAUAAGGGAAUAAAGUUCGCCACGUGUGGUGUUUUGUAUGUACCUUAUGAAUAAGCAUCGGCUAAUUCCGCGCCAGCAGCCGCGGUAAUACGGAAGAUGCGAGCGUUAUCCGGAUUUAUUGGGUUUAAAGGGAGCGUAGGCGGGCUUUUAAGUCAGCGGUCAAAUGUCGUGGCUCAACCAUGUCAAGCCGUUGAAACUGUAAGCCUUGAGUCUGCACAGGGCACAUGGAAUUCGUGGUGUACCGGUGAAAUGCUUAGAUAUCACGAAGAACUCCGAUCGCGAAGGCAUUGUGCCGGGGCAUAACUGACGCUGAGGCUCGAAAGUGCGGGUAUCAAACAGGAUUAGAUACCCUGGUAGUCCGCACGGUAAACGAUGAAUGCUCGCUAUGGGCGAUAUAUUGUCCGUGGCCAAGCGAAAACGUUAAGCAUUCCACCUGGGGAGUACGCCGGCAACGGUGAAACUCAAAGGAAUUGACGGGGGCCCGCACAAGCGGAGGAACAUGUGGUUUAAUUCGAUGAUACGCGAGGAACCUUACCCGGGCUUAAAUUGCAACUGACUGAACCGGAAACGGUUCUUUCUUCGGACAGUUGUGAAGGUGCUGCAUGGUUGUCGUCAGCUCGU
rnacentral:rRNA from 1 species